rnacentral:rRNA from 1 species
GAUGAACGCUGGCGGCGUGCCUAAUACAUGCAAGUCGAGCGAACAGACGAGGAGCUUGCUCCUCUGACGUUAGCGGCGGACGGGUGAGUAACACGUGGAUAACCUACCUAUAAGACUGGGAUAACUUCGGGAAACCGGAGCUACUACCGCAAAAUAUUUUAACCGGAUGGGUUCAUUGGUGAAACAGGCUUUGCUGGUCCUUAUUAGUUGAUUCCGCGACGCAUUAGCUGGUUGGUAAGGUAACGGCUUACCAAGGCAACGAUGCGUAGCGGACCUGAGAGGGUGAUCGGCCACACUGGAACUGAGACACGGUCCAGACUCCUACGGGAGGCAGCAGUAGGGAAUCUUCCGCAAUGGGCGAAAGCCUGACGGAGCAACGCCGCGUGAGUGAUGAAGGUCUUCGGAUCGUAAAACUCUGUUAUUAGGGAAGAACAAAUGUGUAAGUAACUAUGCACGUCUUGACGGUACCUAAUCAGAAAGCCACGGCUAACUACGUG